UGGGGAAUAUUGCACAAUGGGCGCAAGCCUGAUGCAGCCAUGCCGCGUGUGUGAAGAAGGCCUCGGGUUGUAAAGCACUUUCAGCGAGGAGGAAGGUGGUGAGCUUAAUACGCUCAUCAAUUGACGUUACUCGCAGAAGAAGCACCGGCUAACUCCGUGCCAGCAGCCGCGGUAAUACGGAGGGUGCAAGCGUUAAUCGGAAUUACUGGGCGUAAAGCGCACGCAGGCGGUUUGUUAAGUCAGAUGUGAAAUCCCCGGGCUCAACCUGGGAACUGCAUUUGAAACUGGCAAGCUAGAGUCUCGUAGAGGGGGGUAGAAUUCCAGGUGUAGCGGUGAAAUGCGUAGAGAUCUGGAGGAAUACCGGUGGCGAAGGCGGCCCCCCUGGACGAAGACUGACGCUCAGGUGCGAAAAGCGUGGGGCAGCAAACAGGAUUAGAUACCCUGGUAGUCCACGCUGUAAAACGAUGUCGAUUUUGGAGGUUGUGCCCCUUGAGGCGUGGNUUCC
rnacentral:rRNA from 1 species